UCCACUGGGGGUGCUGUCCAGCUGAGAGAAGUGAUAUCUUCAACCCUUGGAACCUGAUGCGGUUAGUACCGGCGUAGGGAAAGUGUGAA
rnacentral:ncRNA from 1 species